rnacentral:rRNA from 1 species
UGCCAUCAGCCGCGGUAAUACGGAGGGGGUUAGCGUUGUUCGGAAUUACUGGGCGUAAAGCGUACGUAGGCGGAUUAAUAAGUUAGAGGUGAAAUCCCAGGGCUCAACCCUGGAACUGCCUUUAAAACUGUUAGUCUUGAGAUCGAGAGAGGUGAGUGGAAUUCCAAGUGUAGAGGUGAAAUUCGUAGACAUUUGAAGGAACACCAAUGGCGAAGGCAGCUAUCUGGAAUAAUACUGACGCUGAGGUACGAAAGCGUGGGGAGCAAACAGGAUUAGAUA